ensembl:lncRNA
GCUUUUUAUUUUUCUAAAGACAUGCAUACAAAGAUAGUUUUCAGUACUCUUACAAAACCUUGUGUUCCAAAUUUUUCUCUCUCCUUCAUUACUUCCCCUCUCCCCUAGACAGCAAACAAUCCAAUAUAGGGUUAAACAUGUGCAUUUUUUCUAAACAUAUUUCCACAUGUCAUACUGCAAAAGAAAAAUCAUAUCAAAAAUGGAAAAAAAAGCAAGUAAAAAAGGCAAAAAAAUGAAAAUACUAUGUUGUGAUCCAUAUUCAGUCCCCAAAGUCCUCUCUUUGGAAAUAAAUGGCUUUCUACAUCACAAGUCUAUCGAAACUGAUUUGAAUCAUCUCAUUUUUGGAAAGAACCAAGUCCAUCAGAAUCGAUCAUCACAUAAUUUUGUUGGUGUAUACAAAGGUCUCUUGGUUCUCUUUACUUCACUUGGCAUCAAUUCAUGUAAGUCUCUCCAGGCCUCUCUGAAAUCAUCCUGCUGAUCAUUUCUUACAGAAUAAUUCUAUAAUAUUCACAUACCAUAAUUUAUUCAGCCAUUCUCCAACUGAUGGGCAUACACUCUAGUUCUAGUUCCUUGCCACUACAAAAAGGGAUGUAACAUUUUUGCACAUGUGGGUCCUGCUCCCUUUUUUUAUGGUCUCUUUGGGAUACAGACCCAGUGGAGACACUGCUAGAUCAAAGGGCAUGCAUAGUUUUAUAUCCCUUUGGGCAUAGUUCCAAGUUGCUCUUCAGAAUGAUUGGAUUGGUUCACAACUCCACCAACAAUGUAUUAGUGUCCCAGUUUUCUCACAUUCCCUCAACAUUUAUCAUUAUCUUUUCCUGUCAUUUUAGCCAAUCUGAAGUGUGAAGUGAUAUGUUAGAAUUGUCUUAAUUUGCAUUUCUCGAAUUAAUAGUGAUCAGUUAUUGGAAGUCAUUAAAUGCUUGGUUCAAGAAAUUAAAUCAUGAUAAAGAAAAUAUGAACAUCCUCUAAGAUUUCAGUCUAGAAGGAAAAAUAAUUUAGAUCAUAGGAUUUUUGUGACUUUCUUACUAUAUGGGUAUCAUUACCAUUGUGCUGCAAGUUUUAAGCCUAUUCCCCCCCGCCCCCAAUUGAAACUAGGAGUAUUUGUGGGAGAGUAUACUCCAGAUUUAUGGAAUGAAUGUUUUGUGUAUUUUUACUUUUAUCAUGUUAGUAAAUGCCUGUGCUAAGAGUUUAUUGUAUCUAUUGGCUUAUUAUUUAUAGAAAACAUACCAAUGGGGUUCUUAGAAAUCACAUUUGUAUAGCCUCACCCAAUAGAACCACCAUCCUCUAAGGUCCUAACCCUGGAAUGAAAGUGAUGUUUAGGUAGUAAUAGGUGAGAGCAAUGAAGUCUUCAAGUGACUUGUCUAAGGUCUGACAAAUAAGUAGCACAGUCAAAUUUGAACUCUGGCCAUCUUACUCUUGAUCCAAAGUAUUAUACUGUAGUAUCCCGACUCUUGCUAACUACAGCACAAGUUAAUUUUUAACUGCUGUAUGAGUGUCACAGCUAGUAAGUAAAAUAGGUCAUAAAAAGACUCAUCAGGGAGGGAUUCUUGGAGAUUUUGACUUGGGUCAUGAAAAAAGGUAAGCAUUUGGAAAUACCUCAAAAGAUCAUAUAUAGAUUUAGAAUUCAAAGAUAUCUUAGAUGUCACAGGUCAACCCCUCUCAUUUUAACAAAUAAAGAAGUUGAAGGCUUGCAGAAGGUCUCACAGAAAAGUGACAUAACUGGGAUUAGCUAGGAUAAGAAAUAAGCAUUAAAUAUCUGCUUUGUGCUAGUGGUGUGCAUUUAUCUCAACUGAUCCCGACAACAACUCUAGGAGAAAGAGACUAUUAUUCCAAA